GACGAACGCUGGCGGCGUGCUUAACACAUGCAAGUCGAACGGAAAGGCCCUGCUUUUGUGGGGUGCUCGAGUGGCGAACGGGUGAGUAACACGUGAGUAACCUGCCCUUGACUUUGGGAUAACUUCAGGAAACUGGGGCUAAUACCGGAUAGGAGCUCCUGCUGCAUGGUGGGGGUUGGAAAGUUUCGGCGGUUGGGGAUGGACUCGCGGCUUAUCAGCUUGUUGGUGGGGUAGUGGCUUACCAAGGCUUUGACGGGUAGCCGGCCUGAGAGGGUGACCGGCCACAUUGGGACUGAGAGACGGCCCAGACUCCUACGGGAGGCAGCAGUGGGGAAUAUUGCACGAUGGGCGGAAGCCUGAUGCAGCAACGCCGCGUGCGGGAUGACGGCCUUCGGGUUGUAAACCGCUUUCGCCUGUGACGAAGCGUGAGUGACGGUAAUGGGUAAAGAAGCACCGGCUAACUACGUG
rnacentral:rRNA from 1 species